UACGGAGGGUGCGAGCGUUGUCCGGAAUCACUGGGCGUAAAGGGCGCGUAGGUGGCGCGGCAAGUCAACGGUGAAAGCUCGACGCUCAACGUCGAGUCGGCCGUCGAUACUGCCGCGCUGGAGCACUGUAGAGGCUCAUGGAAUUCCGGGUGUAGCGGUGGAAUGCGUAGAGAUCCGGAAGAACACCGGUGGCGAAGGCGGUGAGCUGGGCAGUUGCUGACACUGAGGCGCGACAGCGUGGGAGCAAACAGG
rnacentral:rRNA from 1 species